AGCAGCUGCUGCUUCCCCAGCAGGGUCUGUGCUGGGGAGAGACCUUCAUUAAAGCUCGUGUCGUGCCCAACCCAGGGUGGGACUAGCCCCCAGUGCAGCCCCGGACUCUGCCAACAUCAACUGCGAGCCAGAGACUCCAGGCUGCAGAAUGACAUCCAGGUUUCGCUCCAGCUCAUCCCAUCCUCCCAUGGGACAGGGAAGAGAAAUGGCUGAAAUGGAGCCGGUUCAGGGGCCGGUGACCUUUGAGGAGGUGGCUGUGUAUUUCACCAGGGAAGAGGGGGCUCUGCUGG